ensembl:lncRNA
CUAUAUAUAUAUAUAUAUAUAUAUAUAUAUAUUUUAUCAUCUUUCAACUUCCCCUUUUGAAGAGUACUUUGCACUUUUAGUCUUUUGCCCGGCCCCCUCAUCACAUUCUCAGAGAUGAAUGGGCCGACAAAGAAUAACCCUGCUUUAACAUAAUACCUCCUCUAGCUUUCUCUAAUUCUGACCUAUUUAGCUUAGUUUAGCUCAAAAACACACCCAAGCACGCAGGCAAAAGUCCAGAAAAGAAUUUCAGACAAAGAGGUAUAUUUGCGUGACGUUCUCUCGUAUCUCCAUCUGUAAACCCACAUCCUUGACUUGCUUCAAUUGAAAGGUAAAUAAACCUACGCGGAGUUACAUAUUCACCUUAGUUUGACUGCUGCAGGGGAAUUUGAGCUCAGUCAAAUUGCCUACUGAAGAAAAUCAUUGAAGGCGUAAAUCGAAGAACAAGUAAAUCCAUAAUUGCAGAGAUAUUUAUGCAUCCCGAUGGAGUAGUUUUUUGACAAUUUUAGAUCCAAUUUAGGUCCAAUUUUCUUUUUUGUUCAAUCUAAAUUCCAAAGAAACAUACAUUUGGAUUAAAAAAUAAAUAAAAAUGUAAACUCACAAUGUAACCAUUUCAAAAGACAAAUUCCGUUUUGAGUAACAGACCCGUUGACAAACUACACAAAACUACCGAGCUCUAACAUUCCCUCGGUUUGUGACUUAAGUUAAAACAAGAAUUUGUUCUUUCGUUUCCAAAGGUUGCUAUGGUGAGGUCACUUCCUGUCUGUCCAUCAAUGCCACUGGCAUCCUUCUCAAGCUUGUUUGGACUCUUAUCAUUAUAUAUAUAUAUAUAUAAAUACACAUGCACACAUAUAAAUUGAAUAAUUUACAUUUGCCUGAGCACCUUUUCCCUAUUUAAAAACAACUAAUAUUAUUAAUAUAUUAGAAAAAUGAUCGGUGGUUUAUGUUUCCCUUAGAAUUUUCUGGAAAACAUCUAUUAUGGAAGAGGCUGUUUUGGGCCCAACCCGACCUGUUGUUUUUCUAACAUAUACAAUAAAUAUCAGCCAUUUUUAAAUGGGAAAGAGAGGUGCUCAGGCAAAUGUAAAUUCUUCAAAAUGUAUAAUUGUGUAUAUAUAUAUAUUUAUAUAUAUAUAUUAUGCCAUAUCAGUGUUUCCCCCAGGUUCACAACUAUGGGGGGGCGGACGUACCGGAGGGUGCGUGAGCGUUGUGUCAGGACGCAUCACUGGGGGAAUGAAGCGGCAUACAGGAGGGAGGUGGCCAGUUUGGUGUCACGGUACGAGGAGAACAACCUCACCCUCAACACUGACAAGACCAAGAGGCUGAUGGUGGACAUGAGGAAGGAGAAGAGACCUCAUCGACCACUUUUCAUCCAGGAGCUUGAAGUUAAGAGGGUGAGCAGCUUCAAAUACCUCGGGGUCCACUUCAGCGAGGACCUCACCAGGACACUCGAUACAACGCAGCUGGUCAAGAAGGCUCAACGGCGGCUGUAGUAUUUCAAUACACAGUGUGUAAUUGACAAUAAAAAUCUUUGAAUCUAAAUGAUGUUGUUAUAUGAAAUUAGAACUAUGAAGUAUGAUACUAUAUUAGUCCUAUAUUAUGUUAUAUGAUAUUAUAAAUAUGACGUGUGUGUAUCAACUGGCCGCUAACUAGCUAACAUCAUGGCACGGAGGUGUUUUUUUUUUCAUCGCCCACCAUUCAACAACUCAAACGUGAAUUAAGAACCUUUUAAUAUGUCAAAGAACCAUUUAAUAUCCCAAAUAACG